AACGCAUAUUGCACUUCUUGGUAUUCCGAGAAGUAUACCUGUUUGAGAAUCAAUUUAUUCAUCAUACUCCAGUUUGGAGUUAUGGAUUUGGACUUUUGCAUAGAGCAUAGUCUUGAAUAGAGUGUAUUGUCUUGAUUUUAAACUCGACGUUUAUGAAUAUGUAGUUCAACUACAUUCUUUUACGUUUAUAGUUUUUAAUCGUAAAGGCAAUCUCAACAUAACUCUUGAACUUCUUAGGAAGGAAUAGGGACUUGAAAUUCAUUGACUAUUUUAGUCUUUGACUUUUUGAAUCUUGGUCUCAAAUCAGGUAAGAGUACCCGCUGAACUUAA
rnacentral:misc_RNA from 1 species